GGGUGAUUCCCCGUUCACUUCGCUGUUCACUUCACUUACGAACUCGAUUUGAUCUGUCAAAUUAAAAGUUAAUGUUCGUCGAGUGAAAUCUUUUACCUUUAUUAGUUAUUUGCUGGUGAUAUCGUUUCUAAUAAGACUCAAUAAGUUUUAAUUAAGGUAAUUUAACAGAUUAGUGUUUAAAAAACUUUAGUGUAGUGUUUAAUCUAGUGCUAGUGUGUUUCUUCUGUUGAAAAUGGCUCGAAUGUUUUUAUUAAAGUGUUUAUUAGAGGAAGCUCAUACUUUGGACAAUUUUGAGUUGCGCCGACAAGCCUAUGGAAUUCGUAGUUUGUCUCUAUUGACCCGAGAUGAUAACUAUGUCAGUGUAUAUAGACUUUCGAAGCAAUUGAUCGACCAACUCGAACUUGAGUUGCGUCCUAUAAUAAAAAGUAUCAAACGCCGAGGAAAGGGACUUACAACUCGUAUUAAGGAACGUAUCCUAAUAUAUCCGGGAACGGCACAUUACGGUAGGUAUUUAAUGUAGUUACCUAUGGUAGAAGUGACUGUAUAGUCAUGAGCAAUAUCAUGUACACACUUUAGAACCCUGUCGCACUAUCAUAUUUGACAUUUAAUGAGACUUAUAGUCUAA